UACGUAGGUGGCAAGCGUUGUCCGGAUUUACUGGGCGUAAAGCGCGCGCAGGCGGCGCGAUCAGUCGAGUGUGAAAGCCCCCGGCUCAACUGGGGAGGGUCAUUCGAUACUGUCGCGCUUGAAGAUAGGAGAGGGAAGCGGAAUUCCCGGUGUAGUGGUGAAAUGCGUAGAUAUCGGGAGGAACACCAGUGGCGAAGGCGGCUUUCUGGCCUAUUCUUGACGCUGAGGCGCGAAAGCUAGGGGAGCGAACGGG
rnacentral:rRNA from 1 species